GGGUCUAUAACUCAGUGGUAGAGUUCCUGUCUUACAAACAGGGUGUCAUUGGUUCAAGUCCAAUUAGGCCCA
rnacentral:tRNA from 1 species